CCCAAAGGAAUUGAGCUGAAGAGGAGCCUGUGAAAAGCCUUCAACUGGAGAAGGGGAUCCUCAGCAGAGCCUUGGGCUAGGAAACAGGAUGGUACCGGCCGGAAGUGUAGGAAGAGUGUCGCUGUUCACCUUUAAAUACACACCUGAGAUCAGCGUUUGCGGCAGAGCUAUACCCUCGGGUCGUGCUCACACACAGAAAGGAGGAAAAUCAAUUUCAAUCCCCGCGGGACGGGAUUACUGGUGCAGAAGGUCACUGAAUGCUAGCCCUGCUCAAUGGGCUUGGAACAAGAUCCUUGUCCGCACUGCUUCACUGCACACGCAGCCCAGGGAGGAGGGCUGCCUGGAGACUCACUCCCAGCCUUUCCCCACGAGGGAGGAGAAAGAUGUCGCUUGUACAAGCCACAGAUAAAUACUUUAAACAGCGAAGGGGAGAGGCAGACACGUGCAUGUGCAAUGUGGAAACGGAGACUUAUGUUUGCACCUAAUGCUCUAGAGAAAUUGGUCAAGACUGGCUCAACCGACUGAAAAUAUGACUGCUGUAAUUCUGUCAAGGUCACUUGUCAGACUGGGUUAUGUGCUCCGCAAGGGCUUGCUGCACAGAUCGGCCUUACCGAAGGGCCAUAACUCACGGCUCUAUCUCACGGAAACCUCCCAGGCCCGGUUACCAUUUUGUUCCUGCCCUUCCCGGCCCGGGUAUCUGAUUCAGGCCAUCUGCAGCAUACAGGGGGUCCAGGCUGAGCCUGGAGCCUGUGUCAGUGAUGGCAGCCCUGAGCCCUUCCAGAUGUUGGCGGACUGGUGCCAUUUCUGUCACCUUGGAGAUUAUUACGAACAUUUUAUUGAAACCGCAUGAAUGGUAACAAGGUCUGAGGCACAGAGGGGCAGGAGAACAAAGGCAGCCAGGCCUUUCCUACGGAAGACGUGUGAGAAGUGCUUACCUGGUCUCAGGAGCGCACACUUUUUUUCCCAGUGGGAGGAAUAGGGUUUCAUGGAAAGAGCCAGGGCAUGGCAGUCAAAUAGAUCUGCAGACUUGAGUCUGAAUCCUGGCUCCAUUCAUGAGCUGUGGGACGUUGGGACAUUAUUUAACCUCACCGAGGUUCGGUUACCUAAUCCAUAAAGUGGGGAAAAGCUAAUGGAUGUAAAGCGCCUGGCGCCAAGCCUGCGCUCCUCACGUGGGUAUUCCAGCCCCGUUCUCAGCAAGAAUUGCCACAUAGUUCUCUUUUCUCGCUGUUUCUUAAAUUGGCCCUUGUUUAUGCCCAGAAUCUCCAGGCUGCUUUCGCUUCCUGUCAUCAUGUUCAAAGCUUGGCCUAGCCCUCUCUUUACCAAGCAUAUGUCAUUGGGACGAUAGGAUUGGAUUUUCAUGAGAAAAAGGUACCCAGAUUAGUGCAUCGCAUUCCCAAGCAGCAUGAUGAUGGGCAGGGAGGCGGGGAGGAGAAAGGAGAACAAGGAGCAUCUCUUCCUCUCCCUUCUCCUCCUGUGCUCCUGUCUAGUCCCCAGGAUCUGGGAAACCAAGAAAGAAGCCUAGCCAGUCGCACUGCAGUCAGUCAGCUGUGAUCCUGAGCUCACUGUGGGGAGGGUCAUAAAGGAGAUGCAGGCUCUGGACGUUGGGUCCCACAUCCUCCCAGGAGGAGGGAAGGUAAACAUCGCCCCUAGCUGGGAGGAUCAGGAGCCCUGGCAUACCCCAGCAGAAAACAUAGCGAGACUUUUCUUAAACAAAACAUUCAGGGCUCAUUUUCCAGCAGUGAGAAACUAUGGAUGCCCUCCCAAAUCUAAGAUUUUUGGCCGCCACCUCAGGAGCCCUCCUGGGAGAGAUUAUUGAGAACCUGAAAUCUGGUGGGUCAGGCCCUUCCUGGGUUUAAGAUUCUCAGAGAUGAGAAAGUCUGUGCCAACCUGUGAUGCCCCAUGUGGGCAGAGCAUGCCGCCUGCAGAGACGGCUGAAGUGUGUUAAAGAGAAAAAAUUAUUCAUGACCCUUGUUAAAGAUGGUAAGGCAGACUUUAUGCAGCGGGGGCCACCACAAUAGGAUCUUGUAGUAGGGGAGAAAGAUGGGACUCAACUCUGACCCCAGCAAGGACAAGUGGGGUUUGUAGUGAAGGAGCAGGGUGGGUGUCAAGGAAUGGAAAACUACUAAGAGGAAACAUGAGGGGUAAGGGGGACUCAUGCUAGGCCGACUCAGUAGAAUUCUUGCUGAUGGCAGGCCAGCGCGAUAAGACACCGAGGUGGUCAGAUCCCAGGGACGUGGGAUUUUCACUACAUCAACUUAGAAUUCCUACACAACUGUAUCCUACAAGGACAGAGAGGUCAGGCCAGCAGAGGACUCCAAGGAGCCGGGUUAAACUUUGGUUAAAGAAGAGAGUCUUUUUCAAGUGACGGGGCCCAGCCGCGGGUUUUGGCUGAUUGUAGGCGGACAAGAUGUUUCUGAAGGCAGCACGGAGGUGGUGGAAACUGCCCCAAUUCCAGGAACUAAAAGAAACGUCAAGUAGUCAAACCUCUUAUUUAGGGAGCUUUUAUUGUUGAGAGAGGCCUUUCCAAUUUUCAUGGGCCCCGCAGCCGCAACAGGAACAGCAACACAUACCAACGUCAGCCUCAUGCUUCCUAAGCCCCAGGAAUGUGGGAUGCAGCCGCUGGACCAGUCCACCAGGUGGCAGAGGGAGAGCAGCGUGGCAGUCCCAAGGAGAAAACACGAUGGUGGCCAAGGGCAAAGGGCUGCUGCAACAAAGAGUCACAAGCUGGGUGGCUUAAAAGAACAGAAAUGCGUUCUCUCAGAGUUCUGGAGGUAAGAAGUCUGAACUAAGGUGCCGGCGGCGCCAUGCCCCCUCCGAAGGCUCUAGGAAAGACUCCUCCCAUUGCUGCUUCUAGCUUUGGUGGUUGCCAGCAAUUGGACUCAUUCCUUGGUUUAUAGACGUAUUACCCCCGUCUCUGCCUCCAUCUUCACAUGGUGUUUGUUCUCUUCUGUGUCUGUGUCCAGAUUUCCCUUUUCUUAUGAGGACACCAGUCCUCGGAUUUAGGGCCCACUCUACUCCAGCAUUCUCUCAUCUUGAUUACAUCUGCGAAGACUCUCUCUGCAAAUAACGUCACAGUCACAGGUACCAGGGGUUAGGACUUCAACAUAUCUUUUGGGGGGGACACAAUUCAAACCACAAUAACUAACUUUGCCCACAUGCAGGGCAGACAUAAUAAUCGAUCAUGGGAUUUUCUAUGGAGAAGACUAGACAUCUCAAUCCUUCUCCACACAGCUGUCCUGGCUGUACCUCCCAGCAAUCAGAGCUAGUAUCUGAGGUGAAACUGAUUUGCCAUCACAAGUCCCACUAAAGGAAUGAGGGAAUGAGUCUGGAAUGAUGGCAAUCCAGCACAUGGUGAUGAGCUUGUGGGGAAGAUGGUGCCGGUGCCCUUCAAGCCCGGUUCAGGCAGCCUUCUAAGGUGGGUCCUUCUGGGAGUCAUCCUGGAUAGGUCUGUUACCAGGCAAUCUCCCUCUUGGCCUAGCAGGCACAGUGACAUAUGACCACAGCCUUGGGUUCAAGGGGAAAAGGUCUUGCUGCUUUUUCUGAGUCUGCAAUCCACAUGCAUUGUAGCAUGGCCGGGUUCCAACUUCACUCCAUGCAUGCAUUUCUCCUCCCUCCACCCCCCCACAAAUUAGAAAUACUGAUCCACAGCCAUCUCCCAGGGCUGUGGGGCAAUUUAAUUAAUGUUUAUAAAGCACUCUAAGGUCUUCGGAUGAAAACUGCUGUGUAAGUGCAAAAUUAUUAUUAGUUCUCAGCCUCCUGUCCCUUGACUUCUGACAUGGGCUUUUGUUAUUCCUGAAUGGGAGCCGUUUAUGUGCUGUCCAGCUGGCUCUUUCGGGUACAUAGGCAAGUACAUACACAUUUGCAGAUUUUUUUCCCUUUGAAAAAGGCAUUCCAACUCUGUGGGAUGUCUUCAAGCUUUUCAACGUCUGAAUUUCUCUCUGCUUGUCUCUACUAAGUACUGUAAUUGACAAGGGUAGAUUGUAAACAGGUUACUUAGGAAAAAAGGGAUGGGGAAAAUGGUCAAUUUGAAGAAAUGGGCCCUCUUAUGAUGAAGAAUAAAACAGUAUCUCCUUCUCAUGCAGAAUCUGAAUGAACCACUAAGUGAGGCCUGUCUCCCUUGCCCAGAGGUAUUCUGCAUGUGUUUAUGCUUUGAAAGGAGGAGAGAAGAGAAGGUUUGAUUUCAGUGCCCAAGUUUCACCUCCUUCCAUCACCCUAACUUCUCAGGAACCAUGGAAACACAUACACCCUGCCUAGAUGAUGUUUUCCUGAUAAUUCUUCAUUACCUAACUGUGCACUUGCCUGGGAUCCCAUGGGGAGAAUGAAAUAAAGUGGAAGAGAAAAAAGAUGUCUGCAAGUGAAAUGCCUUGUCUCUGAAGGACGAAAGGGGGGCUCUUGUGUAAUUUAUCAAGCUCUGGGGCAACAAACAAUGUUACAUGGCACCAUUUUCCUUUUCUCUAAAACAUUUUCAUACCCUUCCCAUGUUACCCACAUGCAACCCAUUAAGCUCCCUUGAAGGUGCUUUUUGGUUUAUCCACUGCUUUGUUAGCAGUGUCUGCUAGUCAGCCAACUGCUGUAAGAUUUUGUUUUUAAAAUCACUAGGAAGAAAUUAUGUAACACAUAAUCAGCUGGACAAAAGUAUAAAGGUACAGAACCAAUGACAUAAGCAAAUGUUAGGUCUGUGACUGUGAACAGGGGAAAAUAAACCUAAAAAGCUCUGAUGAUGCACUUGAUGCUUCUCAAAUUAACCAAUCAUUGAUGGAAAAUAAUAUCAAAUUAUGUAAGGGAAAAACCAGAAAUGUUCUGCUAGGACAGGAAAGUUGAGGCAGGAGUGGGAGCGAAGAUGGAUAAAACCACCUUUAAUCAUGAAGCAUCUACAACUCUAGCAGCACCAGAGUCCUGUCAGCUACCGUGACGAUCAUGACACACAGGGACCUCUUCUGUGGUCUAAGAUGACUAAGUUCUGCCUGUUAUGUAGAGGGGUCAAGAUGGAAGGGAUAGUCUCUUUCUUUCCAUUCCUUUCUUUUUAAAAAGGAAAGGAGACCUAAGUAAAAAAUAAAACGUAUGUGCAGUCGCUAGGAUCAUAAGAAAACCCAGGACUGAAAAUAGAAAGGACAACAUAAGGGAACCAGUUUGUUUCCAUUCCUUCUUUGCUCUUCCAUUGAUGCUGCGCUUCUCUGGGCUUCCAUCAGCCUCCUAAAGUCUUCCUGCUUCCCAUCUCCUGCAGCUCUUUCAUUUCAUCCUCCACUUCGUUUGCCUGGUAAUUGGCCUAGAAAUGGAUCUAAUUAUAUGGCUCCCUGACUCAGAAUCCUUCGUUACUGCCCCACCGUACAAAGUCUCUACAAGAACGUGUCUAUCUUCCAUUAUUGCCUCCUCCCUAUUUGGCCUGGGCUGUGGGUACCCUGCGCCUACAAAAACUCUCAUAGAUUUCUCUGUUCAAGGGUGCUCUCUACUUUUUUGCUCCAGAGACCCUGCCUUUGCCUUUCCCAUCACCCUCUCCCACGAUUACUGUUCAAAAUCCUGCUUGUCUUUCAAGUCCAAGUGGAAUCAGUUCUUUAAAGUGGUCUAAGGUGCUCCCAUAUGAAUUCAGAACCUCCCACGGUCCUUUUCCUGUGUUCCCACUAUUCUUUGUCUACUUGCUAAUGGUAAGCAAAACAAGUACUGGUGCUUACAGCUCUGAGCUCAUUUCUCUCUCCACUGGACUGUGAGCUCCUGGAAGGGAAGGAUUGUGUCUUGCUUUUCUUGAGUACUACAUGGAGCACCUACAAGAGUAUUGUGUCCGGAGUAAAUGCUCAGCAAAUGUACUUAUGUACAAUUUCACCCAUUCAACACACACACACACACACACUACCAAAAGGCAGUUGUACAAUUUUAACUUCCCAUGCAAUUUAAUGGCGAAAAUUAGAAAAUAAACACAUCUAGUUUUGAGAAGACAAUAAAUAGCAAUAAUAGACUCCCAUCAAAGAACUGAUUGAUUGUAUCUUACCAAUCAAUUAGCUCAAAUCUGGCUCUGCAAACAAUCGGUCGCAAAACUAUGAGGGACAAUUGCCAUUGAAUUAAGCAAACAACACCUAUCCUAAGAUUUUCAGGCCUUUGGCUAUUUUGACAGAGGAAGGAUGGAGUAAUAAACAAUUUUCCAGUUAAUGCAGCCCAAUAAAGUUGCCAAUGAGGAAAGAGCUGGGAACCAGAAUGAAUCAUCCUGAGACUCCCAAUUCUUACUGAGCCGUAGGGGUCAAACACAUGAGCCUCACGUACUCUCCCUACAUCCACAGGCUGCUGUCAGAGCUCUUCUACAGCCCCAGCAAAUAAUCGGGCUCUGCGGAGCCCAGUGCGUGCAGCUUAGUACUUUCUGUGAUGAAACCUGCUAAGAAUUAUUAUGAAAACAAAAACCACAGGCCUUCCUUUGGAACGAAGUGGAGCUGAUAUUCAUGUCUGUAUUUGUGUCUUGGGACAUCCCAAGGUGAAAUUAUUAUAACUGUAGAUCUAAUUGCAGAGACAAAGGAGGGCCCUGAGAACAAAGCUUUCCCUGGCAGUGGAGACAGAAUAAAUAUGGUCCACAAUCCUCUGCCUUCCUCUGAAAUAACGAUGGGCCCCAGUAAAGGCAGUGGAAAACCAGUUCACUCUCCUUGAUAAGUUCUGCCCUGCUCACUCUUACCCACCCCCAUCCCUCCCACAAACACACACACACACACACACACACACGCACACACACAACUUCUCUUAUACCAAAGACUAGGUGUGAAAUGUUGAGUCCCACCUGAUCUCAAAUUUCCAUCACGUUUUUAGCUGAAGUUGGUCCAAACUGACGAAGGGCAGCCCUCGCCCCUCGUUUCUCAGGUACUGUCAUUCUAAUGGCCAUGGAGCAUUUAGUUUCAUUGUAUAUCCAUCCUCUGAAAGCAAUAUGCCUCCCCCACCAAGUCAAUUCUUCCUUUUAACAAAACCGCUUUGUCAAAGAUUCAUGGUCACUGUUACUUUCUCUGCUGCCUUUUUCUUCUUUCUGAUUCUAAUGUUAUUCUAGGGCUUACUAUUUGCCAGACACUGGUCUAAGCUCUUAGAUGUAUUAUCUCGUUCAAUCCUCACAACAAACCUAUUAGGCAGAUACUAUGGCAUAAUGGUUAAGUUCGUGUACUCUAUUUUGGCAGGUUCAGAUCCCAGGCACAG